UUUAACAUUAUUCAAAGCAGUAAUAGGGAGCUAGGUGAGAGGCAGGAUCAGACAGGCAAUCAUCAACAACAUACUCUGAAUUUAAGAAUGACCACCACACAGUAAGAGAACUGGAAUUUGGAGGAAAACUUCAGCUCUGAGAACUUUCACACAGAAAACUAACAAAGAAAUUCUGGACUUAAACUUGACACUUGCCCAGUUGGUCUUAAUAGACAUCUAAAGAAUACUCCACCCAACAACUACAGAAUAUAUAUUCGUCUCAUCUGCAGACACAACAUACUUUAAAAAUGACUGCAUGUUUGGUCAGAGAGUCUCAACAAAUUUGGAAAAAUUAAAAUUAUACCCAACAUAUUCUCAGGUCGAAUGAAAUGCAAAUAGAAAUUACUGCCAAGAGGAAUUCUCAAAACCACACAAAUACGUGGAAAUUAAACACAUUGAUCCUGAAUGACCUUUGUAAAGCAAGAAAAUUAAGGCAAAAAUCAAAAAAUUAUUUGAAAAAAACAAAAAUUGUGACACAGUGUAACAAAACCUGUGAUAUUGCAAAAGAAGUGAUAAGAUUUGUAGCACUAAAUGCCUACAUCAAGAAAAUAGAAAUAUCUUGUUAACAACCUAACAUUACACCUAAAGAAAUAGAGAAAGAAGAACUAAAUUCUAAAUGAAGAACCCAGUUCUAGCAGAAGAAAAGAAAGAAUUAAAAUCAGAACAGAACUAAGUGAAAUUGAGAUAAAGAAAACUAUUCAAAGGAUCAACAAAAUGAAAAGUUUGUUUUUUGAAAGGAUAAACAAAAUUGAUAGACUGCUAGAUAAACAAAGGAAAAAAAGAAGAUCCAAAUAAGCACAAUCAGAUAUGACAAAGGUAACAUUACAACUGAUCUCGCAGAAAUAUAAAAGAUCCUCAGAGAUUACUAUGAACAUCUCUAUGCACACAACUAGAAAAUCUAGAGGAAAUAGAUAAAUUCCUGGAAAUAUACAACCUCCCAAGAUUGAAUCUGGAAGAAAAAGACACCCUAAAGAGACCAGUAAUGAGUUACAAAAUUGAAUAAGUAAUAAUAAAAAACUUACUAACCAGAAAAGCACCGGACCAGAUGGAUUUACAGCCAAAUUAUACCAGAUGUACAAAGAAGCAUCAUCAGAGUAAGAAUAAGGCAAAAUGGUUCAAGGUUUCUCCUCUCUUCCAAGGAAGUGGAAUAAUUGACUUUCACAAUCUCCCUGAUUUGAAAAACCAUAUUAUAACGUGAAUAGGUGAUUUAAAAGGACAAUCAUCUGAACUGGGAUGUGAGAUUCUGAGGAGAAUGCUGAGAGAAAAGGUGCCUCUGAGCCCAUAGAACAUGUUCAAAGCAGAGCUCUUACCCGAAGCAAGAGAGAAAGACCACAGCAGGUAACAUCACAGCCACUGGCAGAGCCUGUGAUCCAGGCCUGUGGACCUCCACAUCAUUCCAUGAAAGUGACAUUUGAAGAUAAUACCUUGAUCAAACACUAAAAUGCAAAGAACCAGUAAUAAUUAUCCUGAAACAUAAAGAUGUAUGGAUCAGGGCAAUACACCAUUCAUAGUAGAAGAGCAGAGUGGAUCUGGGCGAUUUUCACAUCUGCAUUGGUUAAAGGUUUAUCAAUAUCUUAUUGAAGGAAACCAAAGUCCAAUUUGAGAAAUCAC
rnacentral:lncRNA from 1 species